CCUGGCCAGCACUUUACCACUCUCACCAUGUGGAUCCCUUCUGAGUUCAAAAGCUAAGCAGGGUCAGGCCUGGUUACUGCUCGGACGGGAGAGCGCCCGAGAAUACCUGGGAUCUCUGGGU
rnacentral:rRNA from 1 species